rnacentral:rRNA from 1 species
AGUGAACGCUGGCGGUAGGCCUAACACAUGCAAGUCGAACGGCAGCACAGUAAGAGCUUGCUCUUACGGGUGGCGAGUGGCGGACGGGUGAGGAAUACAUCGGAAUCUACUUUUUCGUGGGGGAUAACGUAGGGAAACUUACGCUAAUACCGCAUACGACCUACGGGUGAAAGCAGGGGAUCUUCGGACCUUGCGCGAUUGAAUGAGCCGAUGUCGGAUUAGUUAGUUGGCGGGGUAAAGGCCCACCAAGCCGACGAUCCGUACCUGGUCUGAGAGGAUGAUCAGCCAAACUGGAACUGAGAAACGGUCCAGACUCCUACGGGAGGCAGCAGUGGGGAAUAUUGGACAAUGGGCGCAAGCCUGAUCAAGCCAUACCGCGUGGGUGAAGAAGGCCUUCGGGUUGUAAAGCCCUUUUGUUGGGAAAGAAAAGCAGCAGGUUAAUAACCCGCUGUUCUGACGGUACCCAAAGAAUAAGCACCGGCUAACUUCGUG